rnacentral:rRNA from 1 species
UGGGGAAUUUUGGACAAUGGGCGAAAGCCUGAUCCAGCAAUGCCGCGUGUGUGAAGAAGGCCUUCGGGUUGUAAAGCACUUUUGUCCGGAAAGAAAUCCUUGGCUCUAAUACAGUCGGGGGAUGACGGUACCGGAAGAAUAAGCACCGGCUAACUACGUGCCAGCAGCCGCGGUAAUACGUAGGGUGCAAGCGUUAAUCGGAAUUACUGGGCGUAAAGCGUGCGCAGGCGGUUUGCUAAGACCGAUGUGAAAUCCCCGGGCUCAACCUGGGAACUGCAUUGGUGACUGGCAGGCUAGAGUAUGGCAGAGGGGGGUAGAAUUCCACGUNUAGCAGUUGAAAUGCGUAGAGAUGUGGAGGAAUACCGAUGGCGAAGGCAGCCCCCUGGGCAAUACUGACGCUCAUGCACGAAAGCGUGGGGAGCAAACAGGAUUAGAUACCCUGGUAGUCCACGCCCUAAACGAUGUCAACUAGUUGUUGGGGAUUCAUUUCCUUAGUAACGUAGCUAACGCGUGAAGUUGACCGCCUGGGGAGUAC